CACUGCCCACUGUGCCACUGUCUGCAGGGCCCACAGAGAGCAGGGAAGGAAACCGAGGGGAACACCUCACUUUCAUGCUGCGGGAAAAGUAGAAGCCUGUGUUGAUGCUUCUUCCCAACAUCCCAACCUCUUCAGCAAGUGUUGGGACAGCCAUGGACUAUCACUGCUGAGUCAGAAAGAAAGCUGAGGGAAGAGCUGGGACGGAAAAGCAGCUAUCAAGGCAAAAAUCUUUCAAGCCCAUGUGCCCAUGAGCAAAAUAAAAUAUCAAAGGGGUUCCUGCUAGGAGAAAGAUGCAGACCCACAGAUACAGAGGGGCGAUUUUAUUGACAUCCUUCUACUGGAAGAAUUCAAACAAUGACUAAAUGUCAUUUUAUGAGGAAAUUUGUAGAAGAGAUCCUUGCCUGUGUUGGGAUGUUGGACUGAUGAUCUGUAAGACUUCUUCUGAAAUCUGAUUCUAUGAUUCCAGAUUGUUUGACUUACCCGAA